AAUUAUAUCCUCAGCAUCUUCGUACAGUACUGUGUGCAGAGUGGGAGUCAGUGUUUGUCCACUGAGUGCAAGUUCUUGUAACUUAAUUGCGACAGGAUAUGGAAUUUCCAAACAAUUAGAGGGAAGUUUUAAGUCUUAACUUUAGGUCAUGAAAUUCAGCUAACAGAUAUAUCAAUCCAAAUGAUGGACUGGUCAUGACUGCUAAUAGAAGGAAUUUCUCCUUGUUAUUAAAACAACUACACCAGAGGCAAGCUAGCCUGCCACUUAGACAAAUCACACUCUAAGUUUUAAAGUCUAAUUUCAGUUUUUCUCUUACAAGAAAGUCUUUUAGAAAAUUCUUUUUACAUUACCUAAAGGCACACCGUGCAUUACAAAAACUAAUAAUGCAUUCAUAAAAGCAUUCAAAAGAAAAUUACAGCUGUAGCUCCUUUCUUAUCUUCCCACCCUUAGAAAUGACUCUACUCUCUUACACUGCUUUCAAAAAACACUCAGAUAUAAUUAAAAGCAGAAUUGAUGCUCUUUGUACAUUGAAGUGAUUCAGUGUAUGUACCUUCAAAUUGAUUUUAGGUUCCAAUCACACACAAAACAAUUAGUCCAUGUUUUUCCAUUUGGUCCAUGCCUAAGCAAUAAAAAGCAAAUUACGGCUAUAUUCUCCCAAGCUGCCAUGAUGAUGAAUGGGGUAAUAACCAUACUGUUUCCAUGUCAUGGGAACUCAUGAUAAUAAGAAUGAGCAUUAAGUAUUUAUGGCAAAGAUAUAUUAUGAGCUAAGGUCCAAUAUACCUACAGAUACUUAAUAACUAAAGGAAAAGUCUACAUAAAUACAAUCUUAGACAUGUAACAACCAACGCCACUACCCAAGCAGCUUGCUCUCAAAUUUCUACCAAUGUGACAAUUAUUAUGUACCCAUAAUAAUUAAAAAACAAUUUAAAGAGGCAAAUCUAAGUUUCUAACAAUGUACUAUCAUCUAAAUGACCAUUUCUAUAAUAGACCUCUGUUCUAAAGACAAGGGUACCCAUAUUGACACAGGUGUUUUGUUAACUAUAAAGCAAGCAUUAUUCAAAUGUAAAGGCUUGGUUAAUAACUGGUUGUUAUCACACCAGCUUUGUAUGUUAGCAUUUUAUUCAUUCAACCAACAUCAUGAACUUUGGUUUCCUCACCUGCAAAAUGCAAAUACCUAUCUUCACUGAGUUGUUAUGAAGAUUUCAUUAUUAAUGGACAUGCAAUAAACAGCAAGUUCCUUUGAUGGCUAAGCACUGCACCGGGCCCUGGAGGCAUUAAGAAUGUAAAGAGAUCCUGUUCUCAAGAAACUCAGAAUCCCUAGGAGCACC
rnacentral:lncRNA from 1 species